AUUGAACGCUGGCGGCAUGCUUUACACAUGCAAGUCGAACGGGGUGGAGGGGCAACUCUCCAUUCAGUGGCGAACGGGUGAGUAAUGCAUCGGAACGUGUCCCGUUGUGGGGGAUAACGCCGCGAAAGCGGCGCUAAUACCGCAUACGCUCUACGGAGGAAAGCAGGGGACCCGCGAGGGCCUUGUGCUGGGGGGGCGGCCGAUGUCCGAUUAGCUUGUUGGGGGGGUAAUGGCCCACCAAGGCGACGAUCGGUAGCUGGUCUGAGAGGAUGAUCAGCCACACUGGGACUGAGACACGGCCCAGACUCCUACGGGAGGCAGCAGUGGGGAAUUUUGGACAAUGGGGGCAACCCUGAUCCAGCCAUGCCGCGUGCGGGAAGAAGGCCUUCGGGUUGUAAACUGCUUUUGUACGGAACGAAAAGGUUUGACUUAAUACGUUGGACUCAUGACGGUACCGUAAGAAUAAGCACCGGCUAACUACGUGCCAGCAGCCGCCGUAAUAC
rnacentral:rRNA from 1 species